rnacentral:SRP_RNA from 1 species
GCCAGAGCUCUCUGCGCUUUCUCUGUGUAGUCCCAGCUACUCGGGAGGCUGAGACAGGAGGAUCGCUUGAGUCCAGGGGUUCUGGGCUGUAGUGCGCUAUGCCAAACGGGUGUCCGCACUACGUUGGGCAUCAAUAUGCUGACCUCCCAGGAGCGGAGGACCACCAGGUUGCCUAAGGAGGGGUGAACCGGCCCAGGUCGGAAACAGAGCAGGUCAAAACUCCGGUGCUGAUCAGUAGUGGGAUCGCGCCUGUGAAUAGCCACUGCACUCCAGCCUGUCUCUUUCGCUGGUCUC